rnacentral:rRNA from 1 species
CCUACGGGGGCAGCAGUGGGGAAUAUUGGACAAUGGGCGAAAGCCUGAUCCAGCCAUGCCGCGUGUGUGAAGAAGGCCUUCGGGUUGUAAAGCACUUUCAGUGGGGAAGAAAGCCUUGGGGCUAAUACCCUCGAGGAAGGACAUCACCCACAGAAGAAGCACCGGCUAACUCCGUGCCAGCAGCCGCGGUAAUACGGAGGGUGCGAGCGUUAAUCGGAAUUACUGGGCGUAAAGCGCGCGUAGGCGGUCUGAUAAGCCGGUUGUGAAAGCCCCGGGCUCAACCUGGGAACGGCAUCCGGAACUGUCAGGCUAGAGUGCAGGAGAGGAAGGUAGAAUUCCCGGUGUAGUGGUGAAAUGCGUAGAGAUCGGGAGGAAUACCAGUGGCGAAGGCGGCCUUCUGGACUGACACUGACGCUGAGGUGCGAAAGCGUGGGUAGCAAACAGGAUUAGAUCCCUGGUAGUC